rnacentral:pre_miRNA from 1 species
AUGUCCCCUAGAGUUCCCUUGACCACUUCACUGGAAGAUAACUCGAUCUUCUCCUACUGAAGUGUUUGGGGGAACUCCUGGUGGCAU